GGCGAGUUCUCGACGGCCUUGCGGCUCUCGCCGGUGAUGUAGUAGAUGUCCUUCUGGCCCUCCUUCAUCCGGGUGACGUAGUCCUUGAGGCUGGUGAGGUCGUCGCCGCUCUUGGUGGAGUGGUAGCGGAGGAGGUCGGCGAGCUUGGCGCGGUUCUGCGAGUCCUCGUGCACGCCCAGCUUGAGGUUCUUGGAGAAGGCCUCGUAGAACUUGGCGUAGUCCUCUUUAUUCUCGGCGAUCUCGAAGAAGAGCUCGAUGCACUUCUUGACGAGGUUCUUGCGGAUGACCUUGAGGAUCUUGUUCUGCUGCAGCGUCUCCCGGGAGAUGUUGAGGGGGAGGUCGUCCGAGUCGACGACGCCCUUGACGAAGCCCAGCCACUCCGGGAUGAGCUCCUCGCAGUUGUCCAUGAUGAAGACGCGGCGCACGUAGAGCUUGAUGUUGUUCAUCUUCUUGCGGGUGUCGAAGAGGUCGAAGGGCGCGCGGCGGGGCACGAAGAGCACCGCCUUGAACUCCAGCUGCCCCUCCACCGAGAAGUGCUUCACGGCCAGGUGAUCCUCCCAGUCGUUGGUGAUGCUCUUGUAGAAGGACGCGUACUCCUCCUUGCUGAUCUCCUCCGGCUUGCGCAGCCAGAUGGGCUUCUGCUUGUUGAUCUGCGCCCACUCGUGGCUCACCUCCUUCACCUUCUUCUUCUUCUUCUUGCUCUCGUCCUUGUUCUCGGAGUCGUCGUCGACCUCCUCCACCUCGCCCUCCUUCUUCUCAUCCGACUCUUCAUCUUCGUCGUCGCUGAUCUCCUUCUCGGUGGUCUUCUCGGUCCAGAGGUAGAUGGGGUAGCUGAUGAACUCCGAGUGCUUCUUGACGAGGUCCUUGAGGCGGCGCUCCUCCAGGUACUCGAGCUGGUCGUCCUUGAGGAAGAGCGUGAUCUUGGUGCCGCGCCCGAGCCGCUCGCCCUCCGUGUCGAGGGUGACGGUGAAGGAGCCGCCGGCCUGCGACUCCCACACGUACUGCUCGUCGUCGUUGUGCUUGGUGGUGACCACCACCUUGUCGGCGACGAG
rnacentral:lncRNA from 1 species